GGAUAGAGGCGCGGGUCGCAUCAGUACCCCAUGGCAAGGCCGGGUGGCCGCAAUGGGCGAAAGGGCGCACCGCCGAAGUGAGAAGAAAUCACCCGGUUUCUUCCUGCUGGGUCGUCAGAGAAUAUCUGCCGGACUGUCACAAGACUUUGUGAAGCGCUAUCUU
rnacentral:ncRNA from 1 species